UGAGGAAUAUUGGUCAAUGGGCGAGAGCCUGAACCAGCCAAGUCGCGUGAAGGAAGACUGCCUUAUGGGUUGUAAACUUCUUUUAUACAGGAAUAAAAAGGCUUACGUGUAGGCCAUUGCAAGUACUGUAUGAAUAAGCAUCGGCUAACUCCGUGCCAGCAGCCGCGGUAAUACGGAGGAUGCGAGCGUUAUCCGGAUUUAUUGGGUUUAAAGGGUGCGCAGGCGGGCUUUUAAGUCAGCGGUGAAAUCUGGACGCUUAACGUCCAAACUGCCGUUGAAACUGGGAGUCUUGAGUAUGGAUGAAGUAGGCGGAAUUCGUUGUGUAGCGGUGACAUACAUAGAUAUAACGAGGAACUCCGAUUGCGUAGGCAGCUUACUAAGCCAUAACUGACGCUCAUGCACGAAAGCGUGGGGAUCAAACAGGAUUAGAUACCCUGGUAGUCCACGCCGUAAACGAUGAUUACUAGUUGUAUGCGAUAUGAUAGUAUGUGACUAAGCGAAAGCGAUAAGUAAUCCACCUGGGGAGUACGCCGGCAACGGUGAAACUUAAAUGAAUUGAC
rnacentral:rRNA from 1 species